CCAAAGGCUCUUUUAAGAGCCACCCCACUUGCUCCCUGAAAGAGCUU
rfam:Opisthocomus hoazin contig23817, whole genome shotgun sequence.